rnacentral:rRNA from 1 species
GAACGCGAAGAACCUUACCAGGCCUUGACAUCCUAGGAACCCUGAUGAAAGUCGGGGGUGCCCGCAAGGGAACCUAGAGACAGGUGCUGCAUGGCUGUCGUCAGCUCGUGUCGUGAGAUGUUGGGUUAAGUCCCGCAACGAGCGCAACCCUUGUCCUUAGUUGCUAACGGGUAAGCCGAGCUCUCUAGGGAGACUGCCCGCGAAAGCGGGAGGAAGGCGGGGAUGACGUCUAGUCCGCAUGGCCCUUACGGCCUGGGCGACACACGUGCUACAAUGCCCGGCACAGAGCGCUGCCACAUCGCAAGAUGGAGCGAAUCGCCUAAAUCCGGGCUCAGUUCGGAUUGGGGUCUGCAACCCGACCCCAUGAAGCUGGAAUCGCUAGUAAUCGCGGAUCAGCCAUGCCGCGGUGAAUACGUUCCCGGGUCUUGUACACACC